rnacentral:lncRNA from 1 species
UGGUGAUCCAUUCGGAUUUGACUAUGGUGAGUCUUGUCUCUCUUUCUCUAAUCCUUUCAAGUGCUUUCUUGUAAGUAUUGGUGAUUUUUUUUUUUCAGUUUUAGUUACAAGGAACUUGGAAAAUUAAUGGUAUCAUAGUUCUGGAUGAUACUACUUAUGUUGUAUGUCUUGUUAUUUGAUUAAAAGAGAGGGUAAAAGAAGAGGAGUUUGAGCAAUUGUAAUGUUCAUCUUGAUAGAAUGUCAGUAAGAACUUUGAAUAUUCGAAUAUAAAUGGAGCUUUUGUUGGAAGAAGAAUGCAUUAGACUCUGUCUGUUGGUUAUCUUGUCAAGAAUUGAAACUUCAUAUCUUCCAUUUCUCUUUACCUAUUUUUCUUUGAAAUUCUGUGACGUGUGAAGAAGCUGAGGUCUAUAGAGUUUGAGGCCACUUUGUAAUUGUGUUGUUGGAUGGAAAAACAGUCUCAUAUAGUUGUUAGAAGUGGUUAAACUCCUUGAUUUAUAAGUUAGGUAAAAUUCUCCAUCGGUUGGUUUCUUCGGUUGAAUCUAGAAACAAAAUCCUACACAUUUAGGUCUAAAGUGGACAAAAUCAUAUUGAGAUGAAUCAAGGAGAGAGACAUAUUGUCUUAAUGUUACAGGAUUGGGAUUAGAAAUCAAAAUCAUGUGUGCUUUAGUCUUUUGUGUUGAAUUGCUUGAUGUAGUUUUCUUGCUAAGUUCUUGAGUUGGUCUGAUUUUUUUUUUUUUUUACAUAGUAUUGCUCAUCAAAGCCAUUAACAUAGUAUUUGAAGUUUUGGAACUCAUUGUUGAAAGGUUGAACUAGGCACAACAAGUAGGAUAUCGUUGAUGAAGAUUGACGUUUAUGUACAACGUAGAGACCGGUUCAACCUUAGACUUUGAGUUGUUUCACUCUUUAGUUUGAUGGUACUUAGAGAAUUGCUUUCUAUAGUCGAACUAAACCAUUGGUUUCAUGCCCUGAACAAUGCACAUUGAGAUCUUAUAAGCAUUAUGUGUUAAUUUAUUCAUCAGUACAGAUCACUUGAGCUAGAUUCUUCUAUUUGUACUAUAAUUUUCUGCCUGUUGCUGCUGUUUGUUCACAUUCUUGAGUUUCAACAGAAGUUUCAAUCAACAAAAUGCCUAGGUGGGCUUCAACUCACAUGCCAUCUCUCUUUUUUAUCGCCUCUUGCAAUGUAAAGACAAACAAAUUUAGCAUUGGAAAUCAAGCCAUGUAGGACCUUUUUUUAAAAAAAUAUACAUAUAGCUUUCUGUUCCCCUUAAUUUCCUCAAAG